rnacentral:rRNA from 1 species
GACGUAGGUGGCGAACGUUAUCCGGAAUUAUUGGGCGUAAAGGGUGCGUAGGUGGCCCGGUCAGUUCGUGGUGAAAGCGCGGGGCUCAACCCUGCGUCGGCCAUGAAUACUGCCGCGGCUGGAGCACUGUAGAGGCAGGCGGAAUUCCGGGUGUAGCGGUGGAAUGCGUAGAGAUCCGGAAGAACACCGGUGGCGAAGGCGGCCUGCUGGGCAGUUGCUGACACUGAGGCGCGACAGCGUGGGGAGCAAACAGG